AUAUAGGAGCGAUCCGGUCGUUCCCGAACUCUUGAACCCACAGAAAAAAAAGAAGAAAUCACACCCAUGACCGCCCAUUGUCGACCCGCCUCGAUCCCCAAUUCUGGCGCCAAUCUCCCGCUCCAACGGAGCCACCGAGCUACCACCGGCAAGCUUCUUCGGCCACCGCGGCCAUCCGCCAGCUUCCCCGGCCGCCGCGGCCACCCGACAGCUUCUCCGGCCGCGGCCAUCCGCCACCACCGACAGCACAGCCGUCAGGACGCCGUUGUGGCCCAUCUCCAGCCUACUCCCUGCCCACGGCUUCUUCCCACGCCAUCGCCUCCAACAGCCGACGCGGCCGCCGUGACGCCCGCAUCCCCACCCUCGCACGCUACAUCAUCCACAUCCGCCUGAAAUCGCUGUCAGACCCCACACGUCGCCCCUGCCCAUGUACUGCAUCGAUACACCAAUGGUGGCCUCGGAUCUGAGCGCUAGCCGCUGGAUCCGCGGAUGUUCACGCGUGGGAGGUGUUGCUGCUCCGGCGAGCUCCUUCGUGCACGGAUCCGUGCACCCCUGAGCAUUGCCAUCCGGCUACCAUCACCGUCAAGCCAUUGCGCCUCCACCAUGCCUCGCUACGGCGGCGCUAGGAUCCCACCGUCGUGCCACCGGAUCCUCCGCCUUCAAGCCCCUGUACCUCCAGUGAGCGAUGUGCACGUACGGCCCUGAUCCAGUGCAUGCAGCUUCGAUCUAGGAUGUCCCAGCCACCGCCGUAUGAUGCUGCUCCGGCCGCUUCUUCGGCAGUCCGAGUGCCCCACCCAUGUCCGUCCGAGUUCCUUUGUCCGUGCUCCUUUGUGUCAAAGCUUCUGCCAGUAGAAGUGCAGAAAUCUGAAGAUCAUUUGGUGUGUCUUCAGCAAACGUUCCGUCGAGCCACUGCUGCAAAGAAAUUGGUGUUUUGGUCCGUUGAUUUCAGUUUAACAGGAGCUUCAGUAAUGGAAAACUUGAGUUUUCUUAGAAGUUUAUCUCCAAAAUGCAUGACAGCCGACGGUCCAUUUAAUCAGAGAUGAAAUACUUUUAGAAGCAUACAAAUAAGGCCCUCUCCCCAGGUGGUUUUUGCCAGGCGAUGUACUCAUGUCUAGUGCCGUCAGUGUUCACUCAGGGGCGUAUUCCAUUUCUUCAGUUCUGUAUAUAUAGUCGUAGAACUAUGUAACUUGGUCUAAGUACGUAGGUACAGAAGGAGAGGAGGGCCUUCUACUCAGACCGGCCGGCCACUUCUUCAGACUGAUGUUCACAUCUACUCCAGCUAGCACCACUCCUGAAGUGCCCCAAUCAUUGCUGUGCCAAAGAAUAGCCGAUUGUUCGCCCAUAUUUUGUUUCUCUUCUGUAUACACUGCAUGUGAUCUCUGCAUGUUUCUAUGAUUAUAAAGUGUUGUCGUUUGUUGCUGCUGAAUGGUGAGGUGAGCAAGGGGAGAAGAUUAGCUGCCAUUGCUAUUAUUUCUUCUUUUUAUCUCCGGAGUUACGUGAAUCAAGUUACAGGAAAUAGAAGAAAAAAACUUUAGAAAGAAAAUGAUGCUUAUUGAGCUACUAAGGAUGUGUAGCAUUUGGGGCACGUGGGUGUUGUUUGUAUAUGUACCUGUCAACAUGUUCUUGACAGAAGUUCUUGUGCGUAUAUUUGAGCAAUUCAAAUGAUAGAAAAACAUCUUCA